rnacentral:rRNA from 1 species
GGGUGAGUAAUGCCUGGGAAUUUGCCUUUGUGUGGGGGAUAACUAUUGGAAACGAUAGCUAAUACCGCAUAACACCUACGGGUCAAAGGGGGGACUUGUUCCUCCCGCGCAAAGAGAAGCCCAGGUGAGAUUAGCUAGCUGGUGAGGUAAGAGCUCACCAAGGCGACGAUCUCUAGCUGUUCUGAGAGGAAGAUCAGCCACACUGGAACUGAGACACGGUCCAGACUCCUACGGGAGGCAGCAGUGGGGAAUAUUGCACAAUGGGGGAAACCCUGAUGCAGCCAUGCCGCGUGUGUGAAGAAGGCCUUCGGGUUGUAAAGCACUUUCAGUUGUGAGGAAAGGUUAAUGGUUAAUACCUAUUAGCUGUGACGUUAGCAACAGAAGAAGCACCGGCUAACUCCGUGCCAGCAGCCGCGGUAAUACGGAGGGUGCAAGCGUUAAUCGGAAUUACUGGGCGUAAAGCGCACGCAGGCGGUCUGUUAAGCUAGAUGUGAAAGCCCCGCGCUCAACGUGGGAUGGUCAUUUAGAACUGGCAGACUAGAGUUUUGGAGAGGAGAGUGGAAUUUCUGGUGUAGCGGUGAAAUGCGUAGAUAUCAGAAGGAACAUCAGUGGCGAAGGCGACCCUCUGGUCAAUAACUGACGCUCAUGUGCGAAAGUGUGGGUAGCGAACGGGAUUAGAUACCCCGGUAGUCCACACCGUAAACGCUGUCUACUAACUGUUUGUGGAUUUAAUCCGUGAGUAGUGAAGCUAACGCGAUAAGUAGACCGCC